GAUGAACGCUAGCUCCAGGCUUAACACAUGCAAGUCGAGGGACCGGCGCACGGGUGAGUAACGCGUAUCCAACCUACCCAUAACUCAGGGAUAACCCAGCGAAAGUUGGACUAAUACCUUAUGGUAAUGGCUGGGGAUGCGUCUGAUUAGCUGGUUGGCGGGGUAACGGCCCACCAAGGCAACGAUCAGUAGGGGUUCUGAGAGGAAGGGCCCCCACAUGUGAACUGAGACACGGUCCAAACUCCGACGGGAGGCAGCAGUGAGGAAUAUUGGUAAAUGGACGCAAGUCUGAACCAGCCAAGUAGCGUGAAGGAUGACGGCCUAUGGGUGGUAAACUGCUUUUAUAUGGGGAUAGGUACCAUAUGAAUAAGGACCGGCUAAUUCCGUGCCAGCAGCCGCGGUAAUAC
rnacentral:rRNA from 1 species